ACGAUAUCGAAACAUGAAUUGGAAAAUACUGUUAGCUUUGUGUAGUUUUGUAGCAUCUUCAAGAGCAUUGACUUGCGAGAGUUGCGACACGUUCAUCUGUCCAGAGGUAUCAUGUCCAGAUAGCUCAUUGGUAAAGGGUGUAUGAGGUUGCUGCAAUGUAUGUUCGAAGCAAGAAGGCCAGUCAUGCGGCGGAAUAUGGCACCACGGCGGAAAAUGUGAUCCC